AUCCUCUGGGUCACGCCCCCGAGGCCGCAAGGCGUCUGAGAAGCAGCCCCGGCUCUGACCCGCCAGCCCUCGGAAGAAGCAGACCCUGGCCGGUCCAUGGCAGUGGCCCGAGGGGCACCAGCGCGGAGCACCAGCGACCCCCAAGGAACGACGUUGCAGAUGAUGCUCUACCAAGAGUUGGAAGGACUCCCCAGGGAAUCCCACAAGACACUGCGCUUCCUAUGCCUCCUUUCCCUCGUUUAAAAAAUGGGGAUAAGAAGGUUGGCUACUGCUCCGACAGCCCUCACAAUGGAAGAGUAGCACUUCAUUUGUGGGUUAACAAAGGGCAACGCUGAAAUCUCCACUUCCACUAUUGAAUGGAACUGUGUCAUAAUAUCUGUUAGAGGCGUGCAAACUCGGCCACAAGGUCAUGGUCAUACGUUAUUGUUGGUCAAAAGCCGCAGCCCUACCUGAGGCUUUGAGAGAUAUGAACACCAAUGACUUUUCUUUUCCUGACUCCCGAAAUACCAAGAAAAAGCAACUUCCCCAAAUGGACAGAAACAGAAAGUACCCUUGGUUGAACACAGAGGCCUGGUUCCAGCCAUCGUUAGACGUGGGAAGGAACUCAGACCCCCUCUCCUACCUCAUCCCCAACCCCUUCCCCACACGUCACCCUUUCACAGAGAAGGAACCAGAGCCACCAAGGGCUGAGAGAGGACUUGAUAAGGAUUCCAGUCUUCUGUCUCCCCUGUCCCCACUUUUUCCACCACAAAAAUAUGGACAUUUGGAAGAAGAGGAGAAGAGGGAAGGUACACACUGUGCAAAGGAAGAAAAUGGCAGAAAUGCUCUGGAAUCAGGAAUUCAGGAGCAAGAAUGACACUGUGUGCCAGAUGGAAAUGUUGGAUUAGGAGAGCACUUGGAAAGGCAAAUAAUCUGCCAGAGAAAUUAUGGGAUGCCUGCCUUCUGAAAAUGGAGGAAAACUGCAAAAGAGUGGCUCAUUGGUGCUCACUCCUAGGGCUCUGAGCAUCCCAAGAAGCCAACUUGGUCCCAUCGUACAUCCCCUCAGAAGUAGGCAUUCUCCUCUCCACCUACAGCUGUGGCCCAGAUGUGGAGCCUGCAUGUUAUGCCACGCCGUCAACACUGAGUUCUGUCUGCGUCUCCCUGUCACAGAUCUGAUCAGCACCUGACACCUAUCCAUUCUCCAUUUCCCACCUCCCCAAAGCUGCUGGAAAAACUCUGAAAGGUGGGAGCAUGCACCAGUGAAACCUGAGUUCUUUCUGUUCACAUGAGGUAAUCUUCCCACUGGCUGGAAGACACUUCAUUUAUACAAACAGCGAUUACUGUAAAAGUGUAUUCAUGUUGUUCAUCACAUGAAUAGGACAUGGGAGAAAAACUAUAUAAUUAUCCUGAGAAAAUGCCCCCUAAUGCAAAUUCUCUGUGGUUAGGAAUAAAAGGAGACUUUGUCAACAUGA
rnacentral:lncRNA from 1 species